UUGUUAAGACGGAGCGUAGCUUCAAUCUCGGGAUCAAAAUCUUCAAGAGGAAGAUUCUGAGAUCGUGUGUUCAUUCACUACCUGGAAAGCUCCAAACACAAGAAUUAGAACCACAGGAAAAAAAAAGAACAGAAAAAUAAAUAAACAGAAAUAAAAUUCAGAUUAGUCUCAAACAAUUAACAGAUAGUACUGAUAAAAAUCAGUCCCCGGCAACGGCGCCAA
rnacentral:lncRNA from 1 species